rnacentral:misc_RNA from 1 species
GAUAAACGUAGGAAGAUGAUGAUUGGAUGCACUCAGCCUCGUAGAGUGGCUGCAAUGUCUGUUUCUCGACGUGUGGCGGAGGAGAUGGAUGUGAAUAUUGGUGAAGAGGUCGGUUAUAGCAUCCGUUUUGAGGACUGUAGCAGUGCAAGAACAGUUUUGAAGUAUUUAACUGAUGGUAUGCUUUUAAGAGAGGCAAUGACUGAUCCUCUUUUGGAAAGAUACAAAGUCAUAAUUCUUGAUGAAGCUCAUGAAAGAACUUUGGCAACAGAUGUGCUGUUUGGACUUCUUAAAGAAGUUUUAAGAAAUAGAUCUGAUCUGAAGCUAGUUGUUAUGAGUGCAACACUAGAGGCGGAGAAGUUUCAGGGUUAUUUUAAUGAUGCACCUCUGAUGAGAGUUCCUGGUAGACUUCAUCCAGUGGAGAU